rnacentral:rRNA from 1 species
GGCCCUUAUGUCCAGGGCUACACACGUGUUACAAUGGCCGGUACAGAGGGCAGCGUACCUGGAGACAGGAUGCGAAUCUCGAAAGCCGGUCUCAGUUCGGAUCGGAGCCUGCAACUCGACUCCGUGAAGCUGGAUUCGCUAGUAAUCGCGCAUCAGCCAUGGCGCGGUGAAUACGUUCCCGGGCCUU